UGCACCCUCUUAUUGUUCAUGCGAGAAAAAUUUUUUACAUGAAUUUCUCUCAUACCUAGAAGCUUUUCUAUAUUCACAUCUGAUUCUUUUUGAAUUAAAAAUUGGUUGAUUUAAAUUUGAGUUCAAAUGGGUUUGAAUUUGAAUAAAAACUUAGAGUCCAAAUUGAGUUAGACUCUUCUCUUCAUGCCAUCACAUUUCUCCAUGCAUUAAAUAUUUUUAUGUGAGAUUUUUUAUACC
rnacentral:lncRNA from 1 species